rnacentral:misc_RNA from 1 species
GAUGAAGAACGCAGUGAAAUGCGAUACGUAGUGUGAAUUGCAGAAUUCCGUGAACCAUCAAAUCUUUGAACGCAUAUUGCGCUCGAGGCUUCGGCCGAGAGCAUGUUUGCCUCAGCGUCGGUAUUACCCCUCGCUUCUCAACCCCUGGUUGAUGCCUGCCUGCCUUUGCAGUUGGCUAGAAGCGGAUCUGGCUUUCCCAAUUGCCUUUGGUAGUUGGGUCAGCUGAAGCACAGAGGCUUGAGCAAGGACCCUUAUUGGGCUUCAACUGGAUAGGUAGAACUGGUCUUAGGACCAACUACACGAAGUUGUUGCUUGUGGUCUUUUGUCUGGAGGCCAGCAGGAAACCUUUAUACCUUCGACCUGAGCUCAGGCAAGAUUACCCGCUGAACUUAAGCAUAUCAAUAAGCGGAGGA